UAGGGAAUCUUCCGCAAUGGACGAAAGUCUGACGGAGCAACGCCGCGUGAGUGAUGAAGGGUUUCGGCUCGUAAAGCUCUGUUGUUAGGGAAGAACAAGUACCGUUCAAAUAGGGCGGUACCUUGACGGUACCUAACCAGAAAGCCACGGCUAACUACGUGCCAGCAGCCGCGGUAAUACGUAGGUGGCAAGCGUUGUCCGGAAUUAUUGGGCGUAAAGCGCGCGCAGGCGGUCUUUUAAGUCUGAUGUGAAAGCCCCCGGCUCAACCGGGGAGGGUCAUUGGAAACUGGGAGACUUGAGUACAGAAGAGGAGAGUGGAAUUCCACGUGUAGCGGUGAAAUGCGUAGAUAUGUGGAGGAACACCAGUGGCGAAGACGACUCUCUGGUCUGUAACUGACGCUGAGGCGCGAAAGCGUGGGGAGCAAACA
rnacentral:rRNA from 1 species